UCCAGGUUAUUUAUAGCGGAUGCUGGGAAGCCUCUUCUGCCCCAGCAGCCCCCAGGCAAACUCCCUCCAACCUACUUAGAGGGGGUUAAUGUCAUAUCUAGCCCUACACCUUUGCCUGGGUUGGAGCUACCCACUUGGGGCACGGAGGAAAUGUGAAAGCGAGGAGAGAGCCUCCAGUAGGCUGGGCGAGAAGCUGAGGCGCAGUGAGACCUAAUGCCUUGCCCCUGUGGGGGGGCCACCCUGGGACAGCCUGCUCUCCUGCCCCCUCUGCCUGCAGGGUGAGAUGAACUGAGGACACAUGUCCCGUCUUCCCGACCAGACUUCCUCCUCAUGAGGCAGCUGUCUGUCCUGUACUGCCAUCUGGUGGCUAUAGGAAGCCAUUGCUAUCUCACAGCUCCCCAUCUCUGCAGCCAGGAUCCCAAGACCCAGCUGAUGAUGGAAGAAGGAAGACUUGGCUGUCUCUGACUUCUGACAUAAGGUUCAGGGACCACGAGAACACAAUGGAAGAAGUUUGGAAAGCACUUGACUUUAGCAUAGUAGCAAAUGGAGGCUUCCCUUUUCUCUGUGCAAGGGGUCCUGGCUCAGCUCUUCUCCCCAUCACAGCCCUUUCCUGCACACCUGGUUGGAAGCUGUUCAGAACUGGAACAUGGGUUGGAGAAGACAUACAGGGUUCGUUGUAGCAAGGACAUGC